CGCCUUUUGACAAAUAAAUAUGAAAGGUCCUGCCUGCCCAGUGACAAUUAUUCAACGGCCGCGGUAUUAUGACCGUGCAAAGGUAGCAUAAUCACUUGUCUUCUAAAUCAAGACCAGCAUGAAUGGCAAAACGAAAGCCUAACUGUCUCCUUAAGUUAGUCAAUGAAAUUGAUCUUUUCGUGCAGAAGCGAGAAUAUAAAUAUAAGACGAGAAGACCCUGUGGAGCUUUAAAAUAAUAUUAUAUAAAUAUCUUAUAAUAAUAUAAAUUUUUAGGUUGGGGCGACCAUGAGGUAAAGUAAAACCCUCAAGAAAAUAAUUAGAAGGACACUUCAAACUAAGUAUAAUAUCUAUAUAUGACCCAAUAAUGAUCAACGAACCAAGUUACCCCAGGGAUAACAGCGCAAUCCAUUCCCAAAGUCCAUAUCGACGGAUGGGUUUACGACCUCGAUGUUGGAUCAGGACAUCCUAAUGGUGCAACAACUAUUAAAGGUUCGUUUGUUCAACGAUUAAAGUCCU
rnacentral:rRNA from 1 species